rnacentral:rRNA from 1 species
GUGGCGGACGGGUGAGUAACGCGUGGGUAACCUGCCUUGUACUGGGGGACAACAGUUGGAAACGACUGCUAAUACCGCAUAAGACCACAGCACCGCAUGGUGCAGGGGUAAAAACUCCGGUGGUACAGGAUGGACCCGCGUCUGAUUAGCUGGUUGGUGAGGUAACGGCUCACCAAGGCGACGAUCAGUAGCCGGACUGAGAGGUUGAACGGCCACAUUGGGACUGAGACACGGCCCAGACUCCUACGGGAGGCAGCAUG